UAAAUAAUUGUUGACUCAUCGUAAUCAUUUUGUACAUUAGUCAAUUGUACCUGUGUGUCGAGGUUUCAGAAGGAUAAACCAUAAAGUAGGUAUACAGGUCGGGCAACUCACGGCCACGUAGAUGGGACAACUGUCCUUAUCAGUAGCUCCCUUAUUUAGGCGAAAACGUUUAAAACGGGAAGAAAAUAAAUGUCGUCAAUAUAAUAAUAUGUUGUUCGGCUUUUCAAUGUUUAUAUUCGCGUGCAACCAAUUGAAAAACUCGUUAAAUUUUAUCCGAUGUUCAAAUAAUAGUAUGCACUUAGAAU